GGUUCAGUGGUGUAGUGGUUAUCACUCCUGUCUUACACUCGCGUACACAGGCGGUCGUCAGUUCGAUCCUGGCCUGAACCA